UACGUAGGGGGCAAGCGUUGUCCGGAAUCAUUGGGCGUAAAGAGCUCGUAGGCGGUCUGUCGCGUCUGCUGUGAAAUCUCAGGGCUUAACCCUGAGCUUGCAGUGGGUACGGGCAGACUAGAGUGCGGUAGGGGAGACUGGAAUUCCUGGUGUAGCGGUGAAAUGCGCAGAUAUCAGGAGGAACACCCGUAGCGAAGGCGGCACUCUGGGCCGAUUCUGACACUGAGGAGCGAAAGCGUGGGGAGCGAACAGG
rnacentral:rRNA from 1 species